GUUUUGCAGUGCAUCUUACUGUCUUGAACUCACAAGUGAGCACAACCACCUUUUCCUCCUUGUCAUGCUAAUCUAUAUGCACAAUGUUCUAGUAUAUUGUGAAGAAGGCAAAUUUGUUUAUGGGUGGGUUCAAUCAAGGAGGUGCUUGAGCUGGGAGUAUUAUCUUAUCAUCAUGUACUAGAAAUUCAGUAUAGGAUAUGAUGAAUUAUUUAGUGCCCCCAUUCUUAUAAGCAAUUCUUAGUUUUGCUUGACCCCUUUGUUUACCCUAUGUAUGUUGCCAGCUAAUCAAUCCAAACCCUUUAACAUGUACCAUAUGUAUGUUGACUGCAAACUGAAACAACAUGCGCCAAUUUGUGGUUCACCACGUGAAUUGCUAAACUGCAGUCGAUCAUGUUUUGCUCAAUGGUCGUCGAUCUUGCUUUGCUCUCUGGAGUGCAUGUAGAAGAGUUACGUAUAUUAUUUGCCAAAUUGUUACGUGAAACCUGGGAAUAAUAAUAGCUUACCAUGUAGAGUAACAGAGUCAUUUCAUUGUGUUCUGUUUUAUAGUUGAAAAAUGGAGUGGUAUACAGGAAGAAUGGCCUAUGUCCUAUACUCACACGCUGCAUUUGAUUGAUCCUAGCUUAUCUGGUUGUGAAACCAACAAAUAUCUUGUUUGGUUUGUCUGACUGAUGAGUGACCAUUGAUUUCUAGUAGGUGCUGAUUUGUGGGUCUGCUCUGACUUUAGAAGUUGGCUUUAUCCGAAGACUUUGUGUUCAAUUGCUUGGUGCCUUUUGAUUCAUCUGUCAUUGAGAAGUUUGCACUCAGAGUAAGAAAGCCAGCAUCAAGUUGUGGUACAUGAUGUCGAGGAAGGAGUGGAGAAAAGACCGGAGUAGGAUGUGAUUGUUGCUUUGCGGCCCAUCUUGUUCGAAAGUAUCCCUGAGUUGGACAUGGCAACUUAUAAUCCAGAACUUUUUAUAGUGCACAAACUUGACGAUGUAUCAAUAACUCUUGUAAUGAUUGCUUUUAUUUCCGCACAUGAAAACGGCUUAGGCCAAUGCUCGAUCAUCGUGAAAUGCAGACUGAUAUCUUAAGCUUGAUGAAGUGAUGGAUAAGUUGUAGUAAUAUUUUUAAAAUUCUAGUUGACAUGAAUUAUGAACCUUUGUUAUGUGCCUGUGAUUUUUGUCGUUUCUCAGAAUUAUUUGUGGAAUGUGAUUUUUGUUGUUUCUCAGAAUUAUUCGUGGAAUUUUUAUCUAUGAUUUGGUUGUUUUCCAAAAUUAUAUGUAGACUUUUUAUGUAAGAUCUGCUAUAUUAUAUGUGUCUGUAGUA
rnacentral:rRNA from 1 species